GAUGAAGAACGCAGCGAAAUGCGAUAAGUAAUGUGAAUUGCAGAAUUCAGUGAAUCAUCGAAUCUUUGAACGCACAUUGCGCCCGCCAGUAUUCUGGCGGGCAUGCCUGUCCGAGCGUCAUUUCAACCAUCAAGCCCCGAGCUUGUGUUGGGGACCUGCGUCCGACGCAGGCCCUGAAAACCAGUGGCGGGCUCGCUGUCCACACCGAGCGUAGUAACUAACCUCGCUAUGGAGUGGCGCGGGCGCCUGCCGUAAAACCCCCAAUUUCACACGGUUGACCUCGGAUCAGGUAGGAAUACCCGCUGAACUUAAGCAUAUCAAUAAGCGGAGGA
rnacentral:misc_RNA from 1 species